rnacentral:rRNA from 1 species
CUCCCGGAACGGGGAGGUAGUGACAAAAAAUAACGAUACGGGACUCAUCCGAGGCCCCGUAAUCGGAAUGAGAACACUCUAAACCCUUUAACGAAAAGCAAUUGGAAGGCAAGUCUGGUGCCAGCAGCUGCGGUAAUUCCAGCUCCAAUAGCGUAUAUUAAAGUUGUUGCGGUUAAAAAGCUCGUAGUUGGUUCUGCGUGCCACGCUGUCGGUUCACCGCCUGCCGGUGCAACUGGCAUGCCGUGGCAUGUCCUGUCGGUGGCGGAUAGGCCCCGUUGCGUGCCCUAUGCGGUAAACCAGCGUGUAGGUUGCGGCGCAGCGGGUGUCCUUGUACGCCGGAUCAAUCCUACCGCGGUGCUCUUCACCGAGUGUCGAGGUAGGCCGACACUGUUUACUUUGAACAAAUUAGAGUGCUUAAAGCAGGCUCUUAAAUCAGCCUGAAUAGUGGUGCAUGGAAUAAUGGAAAAGGACCUUGGUUCUAUUUUGUUGGUUUUCGGAAUCCAAGGUAAUGAUCAAUAAGGACAGGCGGGGGCAUUCGUAUUGCGACGUUAGACUUGGCAAAUGCUUUCGCGGUGAAAUUCUUGGAUCGUCGCAAGACGCACUAAAGCGAAAGCAUUUGCCAAGUAUGUCUUAAUUGAUCAAGAACGAAAGUUAGAGGCUCGAAGGCGAUCAGAUACCGCCCUAGUUCUAACCAUAAACGAUGCCAGCCAGCGAUCCGCCGACGUUCCUCCGAUGACUCGGCGGGGAGCUUUCCCCGGGAAACCAAAGCUUUUGGGUUCCGGGGGAAGUAUGGUUGCAAAGCUGAAACUUAAAGGAAUUGACGGAAGGGCACCACCAGGAGUGGAGCCUGCGGUUCAAUUUGACUCAACACGGGAAACCUCACCAGGCCCGGACAUUUGAAGGAUUGACAGAUCGAUAGCUCUUUCUUAAUUAUUUGGGUAGUGGUGCAUGGCCGUUCGUAGUUGGUGGACUGAUUUGUCUGGUUAAUUCUGAUAACGAACGAGACUCUAACCUAUUAACUAGACGACACCGGUAUAGAUAGCUACCGGCGAGAUUUAUUCUUCUU